rnacentral:rRNA from 1 species
UGGAGAAUAUUGCACAAUGGAGGGAACUCUGAUGCAGCGACGCCGCGUGAACGAAGAAGGCUUUCGAGUCGUAAAGUUCUUUUAUAUGGGAAGAUAAUGACGGUACCAUAAGAAAAAGCCCCGGCUAACUACGUGCCAGCAGCCGCGGUAAUACGUAGGGGGCUAGCGUUGUCCGGAAUCACUGGGCGUAAAGGGUUCGCAGGCGGAAAUGCAAGUCAGGUGUAAAAGGCAGUAGCUUAACUACUGUAAGCAUUUGAAACUGCAUAUCUUGAGAAGAGUAGAGGUAAGUGGAAUUUUUAGUGUAGCGGUGAAAUGCGUAGAUAUUAAAAAGAAUACCGGUGGCGAAGGCGACUUACUGGGCUCAUUCUGACGCUGAGGAACGAAAGCGUGGGUAGCAAAAAGG